GGAUAUAGCCAAGUCGGUAAGGCACCAGAUUCUGACUCUGGAGAGCGCAGGUUCAAGUCCUGCUAUC
rnacentral:tRNA from 1 species